CGCCGAGAUGACGGGCACUCGCGCAGCGCAUAAACGCGACGGCGCGGCGCUGGUACGGUUUCUGGCGUGGAUCGACAAGGAAGCACCGAGCGGUAAACUUACCGAGAUCGACGCCGUCGAAGCCCUGGAAACCUUCCGCCGCGAAACCGGGGUGCUGAAAGACGUGUCUUUCCCGACGAUUUCCGGCACCGGCCCGAACGGCGCCAUCGUGCAUUACCGCGUCACCCGCAAGUCCAACCGCCNGCGCCGGGCGACCUGCUGCUGAUCGAUUCCGGCGCGCAGUAUGAGGACGGCACCACCGACGUC
rnacentral:misc_RNA from 1 species